UUUACAGGCAUGAGAUAUCCUCAAGGAAAGCAGUUAUAAAAUCCAUCCUUGAAGUUGCUCCUCUAAGAAAGGUGUGGAUACAGAAAACUUAAGACCUUAUUUCCUUUGGAUUUCCAAGUAAAAAUAACUGUGGAAAAGCCUGGAGUGACUACUGAUUAUGAUACAGUAACUUGUUUCCUUCCCUAAGAUCAUUUGAAAAUUCAGUAGCAUGAACUUUUGUUUACAUGGUUGCUUGAAAGUUUUGCAAUGUCAGCUGUGACAUUUGAACUGGAUACUCUGUCUUCCGAAGGCUUCAGACAUGAGCAGGCUUCCAGCUCUGACAUGACUUCAACCUGUUUGGCUGACCUCUCCAGGAUUUCUUGUCAACUGGAACUUCAGCACCCCGUGUCUGUCCCCACUGAAGAUACCAAUAACUGGCCAGCCAAAAGGAAAUCAAAUCUUGUUUUCAUUUACGAUAAAGUAAAUACAGCUUGUUUCUUUGGAUACUCCUCAAUUUUUCAUGAAGCUUUUCUUCAAGAUAUAAUGCAAAACAUUAUACCAGUGGCUAAGGACAAUGAGACAUACAAAAUCUAACACCUAUUUAGGAUAUGCAGCCAGCUACACAAAGGCCAAGAGGAAACAGCAUGAACUGUAAGGAUUCCUAAAUCUGAUAAGAGCUCAGAAAAUCACAGAACAUUGCCAGGAGUCCCGCAAAGCAAAUUUAUUAACCACAGGUAGUAAGGAUUAACAGGGCCUGGUUCCUCAUGGCUCAGGAAAACUGCCCAGCAUGAGUGGAGUUUCCCCUGCCUAUGUCCACAUCACAGGCGAAGGACACCACAGCCUCCAUCCUGGACUGAACAUACAGGGUGGCAUUCCGCUCACUGAGCAAAAGCACUUCAGGAUGGCUUGUCUUGGAACAUACACAUCACUGCCUUCUCCCUGCAGACAUUUCUUCUUUGUCUCCAAUGUUGCACUCUUGGCAUACUCUUCAAACAGAAGGGGAAAGAGCUAGGUAAUCCCAGACCAUGCGAAGACCUGCACACCCAACAACAGCACCUUAGCAAAGAUCUUCCAUCUUAAAAGCUCGCUGACCUCCAGUGCUGGAAGGAUAUCUUGUUAAAUUUUUGCAGCACUUUGAUGGAUAGAACUUCAGUGUAACAUCAUGAAGUCAUGGCUAAAGGAACUUUUAUUAGGCCCAUGAGGCCAUCCAACAUAGCAGAAAGAU
rnacentral:lncRNA from 1 species